GGGUUGUGAGGUUAAGCGACUAAGCGUACACGGUGGAUGCCCUGGCAGUCAGAGGCGAUGAAGGACGUGCUAAUCUGCGAAAAGCGUCGGUAAGGUGAUAUGAACCGUUAUAACCGGCGAUGUCCGAAUGGGGAAACCCAGUGCAAUUCGUUGCACUAUCGUUAACUGAAUACAUAGGUUAACGAGGCGAACCGGGGGAACUGAAACAUCUAAGUACCCCGAGGAAAAGAAAUCAACCGAGAUUCCCCCAGUAGCGGCGAGCGAACGGGGAGCAGCCCGGAGUCUGAAUCAGCUUGUGUGUUAGUGGAAGCGUCUGGAAAGUCGCAGGGUACAGGGUGAUACUCCCGUACACUAAAACACACAGGUUGUGAACUCGAAGAGUAGGGCGGGACACGUGGUAUCCUGUCUGAAUAUGGGGGGACCAUCCUCCAAGGCUAAAUACUCCUGACUGACCGAUAGUGAACCAGUACCGUGAGGGAAAGGCGAAAAGAACCCCGGCGAGGGGAGUGAAAAAGAACCUGAAACCGUGUACGUACAAGCAGUAGGAGCCCACUAGUUGGGUGACUGCGUACCUUUUGUAUAAUGGGUCAGCGACUUAUAUUCUGUAGCAAGGUUAACCGUAUAGGGGAGCCGCAGGGAAACCGAGUCUUAACUGGGCGUUAAGUUGCAGGGUAUAGACCCGAAACCCGGUGAUCUAGCCAUGGGCAGGUUGAAGGUUGGGUAACACUAACUGGAGGACCGAACCGACUAAUGUUGAAAAAUUAGCGGAUGACUUGUGGCUGGGGGUGAAAGGCCAAUCAAACCGGGAGAUAGCUGGUUCUCCCCGAAAGCUAUUUAGGUAGCGCCUCGUGAAUUCAUCUUCGGGGGUAGAGCACUGUUUCGGCUAGGGGGUCAUCCCGACUUACCAACCCGAUGCAAACUACGAAUACCGAAGAAUGUUAUCACGGGAGACACACGGCGGGUGCUAACGUCCGUCGUGAAGAGGGAAACAACCCAGACCGCCAGCUAAGGUCCCAAAGUCAUGGUUAAGUGGGAAACGAUGUGGGAAGGCCCAGACAGCCAGGAUGUUGGCUUAGAAGCAGCCAUCAUUUAAAGAAAGCGUAAUAGCUCACUGGUCGAGUCGGCCUGCGCGGAAGAUGUAACGGGGCUAAACCAUGCACCGAAGCUGCGGCAGCGACACUAUGUGUUGUUGGGUAGGGGAGCGUUCUGUAAGCCGUUGAAGGUGGCCUGUGAGGGUUGCUGGAGGUAUCAGAAGUGCGAAUGCUGACAUAAGUAACGAUAAUGCGGGUGAAAAACCCGCACGCCGGAAGACCAAGGGUUCCUGUCCAACGUUAAUCGGGGCAGGGUGAGUCGACCCCUAAGGCGAGGCCGAAAGGCGUAGUCGAUGGGAAACAGGUUAAUAUUCCUGUACUUGGUGUUACUGCGAAGGGGGACGGAGAAGGCUAUGUUGGCCGGGCGACGGUUGUCCCGGUUUAAGCAUGUAGGCGGAUGUUCCAGGUAAAUCCGGAACGUCACUAACGCUGAGGUGUGAUGACGAGGCACUACGGUGCUGAAGUGACAAAUGCCCUGCUUCCAGGAAAAGCCUCUAAGCAUCAGGUAACAUCAAAUCGUACCCCAAACCGACACAGGUGGUCAGGUAGAGAAUACCAAGGCGCUUGAGAGAACUCGGGUGAAGGAACUAGGCAAAAUGGUGCCGUAACUUCGGGAGAAGGCACGCUGAUGGUAGGUGAAGUGACUUGCUCAUGGAGCUGAAAUCAGUCGAAGAUACCAGCUGGCUGCAACUGUUUAUUAAAAACACAGCACUGUGCAAACACGAAAGUGGACGUAUACGGUGUGACGCCUGCCCGGUGCCGGAAGGUUAAUUGAUGGGGUUAUCCUCGCGGAGAAGCUCUUGAUCGAAGCCCCGGUAAACGGCGGCCGUAACUAUAACGGUCCUAAGGUAGCGAAAUUCCUUGUCGGGUAAGUUCCGACCUGCACGAAUGGCGUAAUGAUGGCCAGGCUGUCUCCACCCGAGACUCAGUGAAAUUGAACUCGCUGUGAAGAUGCAGUGUACCCGCGGCAAGACGGAAAGACCCCGUGAACCUUUACUAUAGCUUGACACUGAACACUGGUCCUUGAUGUGUAGGAUAGGUGGGAGGCUUUGAAGUGUGGACGCCAGUCUGCAUGGAGCCAUCCUUGAAAUACCACCCUUUAAUGGCUGGUGUUCUAACGUGGGCCCGUAAUCCGGGUUGCGGACAGUGUCUGGUGGGUAGUUUGACUGGGGCGGUCUCCUCCUAAAGAGUAACGGAGGAGCACGAAGGUCAGCUAAUCCUGGUCGGACAUCAGGAGGUUAGUGCAAUGGCAUAAGCUGGCUUGACUGCGAGCGUGACGGCGCGAGCAGGUGCGAAAGCAGGUCAUAGUGAUCCGGUGGUUCUGAAUGGAAGGGCCAUCGCUCAACGGAUAAAAGGUACUCCGGGGAUAACAGGCUGAUACCGCCCAAGAGUUCAUAUCGACGGCGGUGUUUGGCACCUCGAUGUCGGCUCAUCACAUCCUGGGGCUGAAGUAGGUCCCAAGGGUAUGGCUGUUCGCCAUUUAAAGUGGUACGCGAGCUGGGUUUAGAACGUCGUGAGACAGUUCGGUCCCUAUCUGCCGUGGGCGCUGGAGAAUUGAGGGGGGCUGCUCCUAGUACGAGAGGACCGGAGUGGACGCAUCACUGGUGUUCGGGUUGUCAUGCCAAUGGCAUUGCCCGGUAGCUAAAUGCGGAAGAGAUAAGUGCUGAAAGCAUCUAAGCACGAAACUUGCCCCGAGAUGAGUUCUCCCUGACCCUUUAAGGGUCCUGAAGGAACGUUGAAGACGACGACGUUGAUAGGCCGGGUGUGUAAGCGCAGCGAUGCGUUGAGCUAACCGGUACUAAUGAACCGUGAGGCUUAACCUUACAACGCCGAAG
rnacentral:rRNA from 1 species